GCAAAAACUGCACAUUAUACAGGGCGACAGGCAUGGCAGCAGUUUCUGGUGCACAUGUUGCCUGUCUCCCGGUGACAGAAGAUAACAGAGGACUAAGAGCGCACAUAUACCUCAAGAGCCCUAAGGCUGCCACAGGAGAGUAAACAACUCCACCCAGCACUGCUCCAGGCCGGCACAACCAUCAACUUUUCAUGAGCGGGCCCACUGGCUGCUGUCUGGAAUGAAGAAUCCUAUGUUGCUUUCCAGCCUCACAUUUCCCCUUUGUGUACUACAAAAUAGGAGCUGUUUCAUUAGAAACAUAAAACAAUGAGGAAGAAGCUGUUAUUGACAAACUGGGUUUGGC
rnacentral:lncRNA from 1 species